UACAGAGGGGGCAAGCGUUAUUCGGAAUUAUUGGGCGUAAAGGGCGCGUAGGCGGCUUGGCAAGUGGAAGGUGAAAUCCCUCGGCUUAACCGAGGAACUGCCCUCCAAACUGCUUCGCUUGAGACCGGGAGAGGUGAGUGGAAUUCCCAGUGUAGCGGUGAAAUGCGUAGAUAUUGGGAGGAACACCAGUGGCGAAGGCGGCUCACUGGACCGGUACUGACGCUGAUGCGCGAAAGCUAGGGGAGCGAACGGG
rnacentral:rRNA from 1 species